rnacentral:rRNA from 1 species
AUACGGAGGGUGCAAGCGUUAAUCGGAAUUACUGGGCGUAAAGCGCGCGUAGGCGGUUUAGUAAGUCGGAUGUGAAAGCCCUGGGCUCAACCUGGGAAUUGCAUUCGAUACUGCUUGACUAGAGUAUGGUAGAGGGAAGUGGAAUUUCCGGUGUAGCGGUGAAAUGCGUAGAUAUCGGAAGGAACACCAGUGGCGAAGGCGACUUCCUGGGCCAAUACUGACGCUGAGGUGCGAAAGCGUGGGGAGCAAACGGGAUUAGAAACCCGGGUAGUCC